rnacentral:lncRNA from 1 species
CCGCGCCUGGCCCACCUGCCCAUUUUUUAAAAACUUUAUUCUUCCUGGUAUCAAGGGGAGAAAGAAAAAAAUUUUUUAAAAUAUUUAAAACUUUAUUUUGAAAUAAUUUCAAAAUCACAGCAGUUUGAAGGGUACAACAAAGAACAUUUUGCCACAUUUUCUCUUUCAUUCGUUCCCUCCUCUUCUCCCUCACCCCUGUUUCUUCCUAUCCUCUCUGAACCAUGAACCAUUUGAGGAUUAUUUGUAUACAUCAUGCUCGUUUAUCCGUAAGAUGUUUUAGUGAACAUUUCCCAAGAACAGGGACAGCCUCUCACAUGCCCAUGGUACAGUUCUCAAAUUCAGGAAAUGUGUAAUAUUCUCUGAUCAGCCCAGGAGUUGCUAAUUUGUAGUUCCUGUUUCAAAUUUGCCAACUGUCCCAAUAAUGAUUUUGAAAGCCGUUGUUUUUCUGGUCCAGGAUCCAAUCCAGGAUCAAGCGCUGCCUUUAGUUGUCCUCUCUGCAGCCUCCUUUCGUUUGGAGCAGGUCCUCAGCCUUUCUGUCUUUCAUGACAUUGAUGUUUGUGAAGAGUACAGUCCAGUUUCUGUUGUAGAACGUCCUUGAAGUUGGUCCCGGAAUAUUUGUUUAAAGAUGGAAACCGGUGAAUUGUAAUCUCACAUAACCGAGCAAGAUCUAGUAGUCAUAAGCACUUUGUCAGAGCAAAGCAGACAAGGCAAAGUGUUGGAAAUGUCAUCGGAUCUUCACAGAACCUUAGCCAAGCAGCCUUUCAAUGCGAGAAACAAAAUAACAUGGAUUUUUAUCUAGUAAUGAAGUCAACACCAUUGUCCACCCUGGGUUAACACAUUCACAUCUCAAAGCGAAUGGGGCUGCAGACACUCGUGUUAGAGAGCCUUGGAAUGUCCUGCCUUUUUACGUUUAAUUAAAAUUAAAUAAAAUAUACAAAAUUC